rnacentral:rRNA from 1 species
GUCUACGGCCAUGCCACCCUAAAUGUGCCCAAUCACGUCUGAUCUCGGAAGCGAAGCAGGGUCGGGCCGGGUUAGUACUUGGAUGGGAGACCACCUAGGAAGACCAGGUGCUAUAGGGA